GAUGAACGCUGGCGGCGUGCCUAAUACAUGCAAGUCGAGCGAAUGGAUUAAGAGCUUGCUCUUAUGAAGUUAGCGGCGGACGGGUGAGUAACACGUGGGUAACCUGCCCAUAAGACUGGGAUAACUCCGGGAAACCGGGGCUAAUACCGGAUAACAUUUUGAACCGCAUGGUUCGAAAUUGAAAGGCGGCUUCGGCUGUCACUUAUGGAUGGACCCGCGUCGCAUUAGCUAGUUGGUGAGGUAACGGCUCACCAAGGCAACGAUGCGUAGCCGCCCUGAGGGGGUGAUCGGCCAACCGGGGACUGAGACACGGCCCAGACUCCUACGGGAGGCAGCAGUAGGGAAUCUUCCGCAAUGGACGAAAGUCUGACGGAGCAACGCCGCGUGAGUGAUGAAGGCUUUCGGGUCGUAAAACUCUGUUGUUAGGGAAGAACAAGUGCUAGUUGAAUAAGCUGGCACCUUGACGGUACCUAACCAGAAAGCCACGGCUAACUACGUGCCAGCCGCCGCCGUAA
rnacentral:rRNA from 1 species